GGACCAGGUGUGUCCAGGUGAGCUCCAGGUGAGCUCCAGGGUUUGGUGUGACCAUGGCAAUGCAGAACAGAGCGACCCGGAAGUUCUCGGGGGGAUGGAGGAUGAGGGUCAGCCUGGCCAGGUGAGACCAGGUGGGAUCAGGUGGGACCAGGUGGGCUCAGGUGGGUUUAGAUGGGCUCCAGGUGAGCUCCAGGGUUUGGUGUGACCAUGGCAAUGCAGAACAGAGCGACCCGGAAGUUCUCAGGGGGAUGGAGGAUGAGGGUCAGCCUGGCCAGGUGAGACCAGGGGGCACCAGGUGGGUUCAGGUGGGCUCCAGGUGUGGGACCAGGUUGGGUUUCACCAUUUGAAUGCAGACCUGGAAGUUCUCAGGGGGAUGGAGGAUGAGGGUCAGCCUGGCCAGGUGAGACCAGGUGGCACCAGGUGGCACCAGGUGGGACCA